UUCAUGCUUACUACAAAAAUUCAAGCAAUGUAGGAAAAGGACGCUUGAUCUCUUUUAGAUUGCUUUCCUAAUUUUCAUUAGGAUCACCUUUUCGGGACUAGGAUGUGAGGUCUUAUUUUUGUGGUUCCGGCAUGCAAUAUGAGUGAGAGCACUUCUAACAAACAGGGUGGUUUUGAUUGGUCUCAGAGGCUUCUCCGUGCACAGGGUUACCCGUGCUGAGUGUUCAAGGUGCCUUGCUGAAAUCUUCGUGGUCUCACUCUUUCGCCCUCUCUGCUCUGUGUGCGUCUUCUGUGGCCGUGUGCUGGGAACACCUUCCUGGGAAGAGGACAAACCAUCAGAUGCAUGGAUGUGGUCCUCCAAUGGAAUUCUUAAGCCAUCUUUAAAAAGCUACUUCUGGGAAGACACACAGACUUUAACACGGAAUUCUUUCCAGAGUAACAGAAGAAGGAAUACCCGCUGGGGACAAUGCAAAGUCAUCCUGUGGAUGGCAGGUGGCGUUUUUACACUUAUUUAAAUUUUUAAGGGUAAUGGAUUUUUUUAAAAAAGCUAUUUUGUCACUGUAUUUUUGCUUAAUGAUCUCCAGUAUAUUUGUGACAUUGGGUGGUGGAGCCUGUCUCCUACAUUGGUAGUGUCCACUGAAACGAAGCACCGAAACAUUUCAAUGUAACGUUCUUAAAAUAAAAUGGUUUGUGGAAGCAGUGACUGCAUACCAAUUUAGAUUUUUCUCUCCCUCCUCAUUAAAUAUGUGCCUGUGGCUUUUAUUUACUUUCCUCCUUGCUCCAGAAAGGAUUUAAGGCAGCUCAUAAAUAUGUGCGAGACCUAUCACUCCUACACA